CUACGUGCCAGCAGCCGCGGUAAUACGGAAGGUCCGGGCGUUAUCCGGAUUUAUUGGGUUUAAAGGGAGCGUAGGCCGGGGAUUAAGUGUGUUGUGAAAUGUAGGCGCCCAACGUCUGACUUGCAGCGCAUACUGGUUCCCUUGAGUACGCGCAACGCCGGCGGAAUUCGUCGUGUAGCGGUGAAAUGCUUAGAUAUGACGAAGAACCCCGAUUGCGAAGGCAGCCGGCGGGAGCGCAACUGACGCUGAAGCUCGAAGGUGCGGGUAUCGAACAGGAUUAGAUACCCUGGUAGUCCGCACGGUAAACGAUGGAUGCCCGUUGUCAGGCUGUUUCAGCCUGGUGACCAAGCGAAAGCAUUAAGCAUCCCACCUGGGGAGUACGCCGGCAACGGUGAAACUCAAAGGAAUUGACGGGGGCCCGCACAAGCGGAGGAACAUGUGGUUUAAUUCGAUGCAACGCGAAGAACCUUACCUACUCUUGACAUCCAGA
rnacentral:rRNA from 1 species